GACGAACGCUGGCGGCGUGCUUAACACAUGCAAGUCGAACGGUGAUGCUCCAGCUUGCUGGAGUGGAUCAGUGGCGAACGGGUGAGUAACACGUGAGCAACCUGCCCCAGACUCUGGAAUAAGCGCUGGAAACGGCGUCUAAUACUGGAUACGAAACUGGCCCGCAUGGGCAUGGUUUGGAAAGUUUUUCGGUUUGGGAUGGGCUCGCGGCCUAUCAGCUUGUUGGUGAGGUAAUGGCUCACCAAGGCGACGACGGGUAGCCGGCCUGAGAGGGCGACCGGCCGCACUGGGACUGAGACACGGCCCAGACUCCUACGGGUGGCAGCAGUGGGGAAUAUUGCACAAUGGGCGAAAGCCUGAUGCAGCGACGCCGCGUGAGGGAUGACGGCCUUCGGGUUGUAAACCUCUUUCAGCAGGGAAGAAGCGAAAGUGACGGUACCUGCAGAAGAAGCACCGGCUAACUACGUG
rnacentral:rRNA from 1 species